AUUGAACGCUGGCGGCAUGCCUUACACAUGCAAGUCGAACGGCAGCACGGGUGCUUGCACCUGGUGGCGAGUGGCGAACGGGUGAGUAAUACAUCGGAACAUGUCCUGUAGGGGGGGAUAGCCCGGCGAAAGCCGGAUUAAUACCGCAUACGAUCCACGGAUGAAAGCGGGGGACCUUCGGGCCUCGCGCUAUAGGGUUGGCCGAUGGCUGAUUAGCUAGUUGGUGGGGUAAAGGCCUACCAAGGCGACGAUCAGUAGCGGGUCUGAGAGGAGGACCAGCCACACUGUGAGUGAGACACGGCCCAGACUCCUACGGUGGGCAGCAGUGGGGAAUUUUGGACAAUGGGCGAAAGCCUGAUCCAGCAAUGCCGCGGGUGUGAAGAAGGCCUUCGGGUUGUAAAGCACUUUUGUCCGGAAAGAAAUACUUGGCUCUAAUACAGGCGGGGGAUGACGGUACCGGAAGAAUAAGCACCGGCUAACUACGUG
rnacentral:rRNA from 1 species